rnacentral:rRNA from 1 species
CUACGUGCCAGCAGCCGCGGUAAUACGUAGGGUGCGAGCGUUAAUCGGAAUUACUGGGCGUAAAGCGAGCGUAGGUGGUCAUUUAAGUCAGAUGUGAAAUCCCCGGGCUUAACCUGGGAACUGCAUCUGAUACUGGGUGACUAGAGUAGGUGAGAGGGAAGUAGAAUUCCAGGUGUAGCGGUGAAAUGCGUAGAGAUCUGGAGGAAUACCGAUGGCGAAGGCAGCUUCCUGGCAUCAUACUGACACUGAGGUUCGAAAGCGUGGGUAGCAAACAGGAUUAGAUACCCUGGUAGUCCACGCCGUAAACGAUGAGUGCUAGGUGUUAGACCCUUUCCGGGGUUUAGUGCCGCAGCUAACGCAUUAAGCACUCCGCCUGGGGAGUACGACCGCAAGGUUGAAACUCAAAGGAAUUGACGGGGGCCCGCACAAGCGGUGGAGCAUGUGGUUUAAUUCGAAGCAACGCGAAGAACCUUACCAGGUCUUGACAUCCCUCUGACCGCUCUAGAGAUAGAGCUUUC